rnacentral:rRNA from 1 species
GACGAACGCUGGCGGCGUGGAUUAGGCAUGCAAGUCGAACGGUAGGAUACCUUCGGGUAUCUGAGAGUGGCGAACGGGUGAGUAACACGUAGGUGAUCUACCCUCAAGAUUGGGACAACCCAGGGAAACUUGGGCUAAUACCGGAUGAAAGCAGCAGUGAUGUUGUUUGAAAGGUGGCGUAAGCUGCCGUUUGGGGAUGAGCCUGCGCUCUAUUAGUUAGUUGGCGGGGUAAAGGCCCACCAAGGCGAUGAUAGAUAGGCGGCCUUAACGGGUGGUCGCCCACACUGGGAUUGAGAUACGGCCCAGACUCCUACGGGAGGCAGCAGUCGAGAAUAGUCUACAAUGGCCGAAAGGCUGAUAGUGCGACGCCGCGUGAACGAAGAAGCCCUUCGGGGUGUAAAGUUCUUUCGGCUGGGAAGAAAUCGCAUCUCCUAAUACGGGGUUGGAUGACGGUACAGCAUAAGAACACCGGCUAACUACGUG